CAACUUUCAGCAACGGAUCUCUUGGCUCUCGCAUCGAUGAAGAACGCAGCGAAAUGCGAUAAGUAAUGUGAAUUGCAGAAUUCAGUGAAUCAUCGAAUCUUUGAACGCACCUUGCGCUCCUUGGUAUUCCGAGGAGCAUGCCUGUUUGAGUGUCAUGUUA
rnacentral:rRNA from 1 species